rnacentral:rRNA from 1 species
CCUACGGGAGGCAGCAGUGAGGAAUAUUGGUCAAUGGACGAGAGUCUGAACCAGCCAAGUAGCGUGAAGGAUGACUGCCCUAUGGGUUGUAAACUUCUUUUAUAUGGGAAUAAAAUGUUCCACGUGUGGGAUUUUGUAUGUACCAUAUGAAUAAGGAUCGGCUAACUCCGUGCCAGCAGCCGCGGUAAUACGGAGGAUCCGAGCGUUAUCCGGAUUUAUUGGGUUUAAAUGGAGCGUAGGUGGAUUGUUAAGUCAGCUGUGAAAGUUUGCGGCUCAACCGUAGAAUUGCAGUUGAAACUGGCAGUCUUGAGUACAGUAGAGGUGGGCGGAAUGCGUGGUGUAGCGGUGAAAUGCUUAGAUAUCACGAAGAACUCCGAUUGCGAAGGCAGUUCACUGGACUGCAACUGACACUGAGGCUCGAAAGUGUGGGUAUCAAACAGGAUUAGAUACCCGAGUAGUC